rnacentral:rRNA from 1 species
CAACUCUUGGCAAUGGAUCUCUUGGUUCUCGCAUCGAUGAAGACGUAGCAAAGUGCGAUAAUUAUUGCGACUUGCAUUCAUAGCGAAUCAUCGAGUUCUCGAACGCAUCUUGCGCCUAGUAGUCAAUCUACUAGGCACAGUUGUUUCAGUAUCUGCAACUACCAAUCAGUUCAACUUGGUUCUUUGAAUCUAAGCGAACUGGAAAUGG